GACGAACGCUGGCGGCGUGCCUAAUACAUGCAAGUAGAACGCUGAAGGAGGAGCUUGCUUCUCUGGAUGAGUUGCGAACGGGUGAGUAACGCGUAUGUAACCUGCCUGGUAGCUGGUGAUAACUAUUGGAAACGAUAGCUAAUACCGCAUAACAGUAGAUAUCGCAUGAUAUCUACUUGAAAGUUUCAAUUGCAUCACUACCAGAUGGACCUUCGUUGUAUUAGCUAGUUGGUGAGGUAACGGCUCACCAAGGCGACGAUACAUAGCCGACCUGAGAGGGUGAUCGGCGAAAAUGGGAAUGAGACAAGGCCAAGAAGCCUACGGGAGGCAGCAGUAGGGAAACUGCGGAAAUGGACGGAAGUGUGAACGAGAAAAGCCGCGUGAGUGAAGAAGGUGUUCGGAUCGGAAAGCUAUGUUGUAAGAGAAGAAAGAGUGUGAGAGUGGAAAGUUCACACUGUGACGGUAUCUUACCAGAAAGGGACGGCUAACUACGUG
rnacentral:rRNA from 1 species